GACAUAGGUCGCAAACGUUAUUCGGAAUUACUGGGCUUAAAGAGUUCGUAGGCGGCAUGAAAAGCAGGGUGUGAAAGCCCUCGGCUCAACCGAGGAAUUGCGCUCUGAACUGUCGUGCUUGAGGAACCUAGAGGUGAGCAGAACUGAUGGUGGAGCGGUGAAAUGCGUUGAUAUCAUCAGGAAUACCGGAGGCGAAGGCGGCUCACUGGGGGUUUUCUGACGCUGAGGAGCGAAAGUGUGGGGAGCGAACAGG
rnacentral:rRNA from 1 species